rnacentral:piRNA from 1 species
AAGGAUUAUUUAGAUGAGGUUCACC